CAUGUAUUUAGCAUCCCCAUGCUUUUGAAUGGCAGCAGGGGCACUUUAACUAAAGCUUGUCAAACAAGCACAGGAUGCUGAAUACAUGAGAUGCUGCUGGAGAGCUGUUCUAAUUAAAGCACCUCCCACCCCACCCCAGACCACAUGUAAAGAUACCCUUUAACUCUAGGAUCUUUGUGGUUCAUUCUAUUGAAGUAUUUCUACUAAAGGUUACUUUGUUGCUUUUUGGUGAAAUUUUGUGUCUUAAUGACCUGGAGCCUAGGCAUGUGAUUACAAGAAAAUUAUGCUUUCAUUUUAAAAUAAGUAAAUUUCUAGCUUCAAGAUCAAUGAAGAAAAGCUGAAAAAUUGAAAAUUAAAAGCUCAAAACUCAAAAGGAUAAAUACAAAACACCAAAGUGCAUUAUUUUUAAGAACUCUGAUUUUUUUAAGCUAAUCUCAUGAUUUUGGGGGCUUGAUCCAUGACUUAUGAAUGCUCGAGGCUGAGAGGAUUUAUUGUGAGCUGUUGAUCUAUAAUGGAACUGAAAGGAAAGUAGAAAGAAAGGGAAUUUUCUGGAUAUUUAUUACUGUGUAGCCUUAAAACAAAGCUUUGCAAAGAAACUGGAAGAGUAUGAUUUUGAACAGCAGUAAGCCAGGCAAUCCAAGCAUCUUCAGUGAGGAAGAAAUUAGGCUUUUUAUGGAGUUAAGGAACUCUUAUUAUUGUAAGUUAUUAAAAGCAGUUGAUAGGCAAGCUAAACAGUGUAAUUAAUACAAAAGAAUGAGUAAGCACACUGACCAUAAAAGGAAGCAUGCUGCUCAGGACAAAAAUAUGAGGAUUUGGAAAAAUACAGUGACUAUUCCUGGACCUUCAUGUGCCCUGAGGGUACUUACAGAAGAAAGAAAUGCUUUGAAGAGAAGGUUUGGGCUUUUUAAAAAGCAUGGAAGAAAAAGUCCACAGAGAGUUUUAUGAUGUCACUGUACAUUUUUAAACGCAGAAAGCAAGAGUUCUCUGAGUUUUGGACACCCAAACAGAUGAUAAGUAUAUGUGUAAUGUUACCUAAUUUUUUUGCCUCAGUUUACAUCCAUAUAUUUGGUUUUCCACAGAGGAAUCUUUAAUGUAGGCUACCGGAUAUCAUAUAGGACAUAAUAGAGUUUUGAUAGAAACUCUAUUGCAGUGACCAUCUUUGAAUAAAAUCCGAUUUUAAUUGAUAAAUUACUGAAGUUAUUUGUAAUACCAACAGAUUUCCUUGUCAGCCAAACUCUCCUUUUCCUUUUCUUUGCAAAAUCUGUAUUUUGUAGUUCUUUUCUAAGAUCUCCAGAAGAGAAUAUUAGUGGAUUAUGUUUACAUCACAUUUGGGAAUUUCUCAGUAUUCACCUCUUAUGUACUUUGUCUUACAUUUAGAACUAUAGCACACCCUGGUGGUUAUUUGCUACCAUUUCACUUUGCUCUUGCAUAUUAGUUGUCGGUGCCUAAUAGAGCAACCUUCAGAAUAUGGUCUUUUCUUAGCUUUGCUUUAUGAAACAACUAAAAGGAAAGGAAGGACAGGGGUCAAAUGGCUCAAUUGAUAUAGUCCAGGAGAGUGGCUGUUUAGAAGUUUCUUUAUUAAGUUCAUUUUCUAAGUUAAAAUACACAUUCCUAGGUCAUACUAUGGCAUCAGUUUUAAGCAGGAAACUCACAAGAUUGAACAACAUAGUAUGCCCUGUAAAUUACAUUUCCCCAUAAAGAUACCUUUUUUGUAAAUUCUGUUUCUAUUGGAGCAAAUGUUCUUAGGUGAUUAGGGCAAAGGGUAAUUAAAAGUUCACGUUCUAAAUAUAGCUUUAAUGCUAAAUCACAAGGGAGACAAGGUUUUUUGGGUAAACCCGAUAUCUUUUAUUAAAAUAAAUAGUUAGGAAAAUUCUUCUUUGGAAGCUUUCAGGUAUUGUACAAAUACCCUUCAUCAGGCUGAGGAAGUGUCUGUCUGUAGUUGGUCUGUGCUCUUCUUGGAUGGAAUAGCAAAGAAACAAGGGAUUAAUUCUGUCAAAAUGCCUCACUACCUUUGUGACAGUCAAGUUCAGUCAAAUAACUGCCGAUGUGCAGAGUCAUGACCUAAGUCAUGAGGGAAUAUGUUGGUGAUGUUUUAGAAUAAUAUAGGCAAAUAAAAUCUCAGAAUAGCCCAAUUCAGUGGCUUUUGAAUUGUCUUCAUGGAACUGAGAAACUAUGAAUGCCUGCUUUUACCGUGUGUGACACCCAUGGAAAAUUUGAACAUCACAGGCCUGCUUCUCCUGUGAGUGAUUUCUGUUAGUUGCAUAGUGGCAAAAGAAAAUGCCGUCACAGAACAAUAAACCACCACGGAUAAGGGCAGACACUCAAAAAGCCAGAUCAAUUCCACCUUGAAUUUAUACAGUUUUCUGUAAGAGGCCUAUGUUAGAUUGGUAGUGAACAGUACACCCCAGGGGUUUUCAACCUUUUAUGGUUGGUGUACCCCUGGCAGUCAGUCGAGAAGCAGGGAGUCCACCAGCUGGUCAAAAAACACAGGGCAGGGGUCCCCUGGCAGUCGAUCGACGACCAGGGGGAGGGGUCCUCCACACGUAGCAGUGAAACCAGAAGCACCAAUGGGCAACCCAGAAGCACGAGCAGCGCAAUUGGAUAUGCCCCAUGCUUCUCUGUGCUGCUGCUGCGUACCACCCGGGGGCUUCCAACGUACCCACCCCCAGAGGUACAUGUACCCCUGGUUAACAACCUCUGGUAUACACAUAUGCCCUUUGAUGGGGGGGGCACACAGGCUGCCUGCACUGGCUGAAGCCAGAAGGUUGGGAGCACGCCUGUAUUCCUCCCAGCAGACCCUGCAGGCUCCUUUGGCUGCUGGAGACUGCUGAGCACCCAGGCCAUGCCUGAUUGCCUUGGGCAAGCAUGCCCCGCUACCCCCACCCUAUUACUCUGGGAUCCUGUAGCUGUGAGCCAAAAAAGUAUUGCAGCACACCAAGUGCCCAUGGCUGAGUAUCUGCCAGCAGUGGCUGAGCUACAGAGGUCACAGGGUUGCCUCUGUGCAGGCCCAGUCCUGAUGUUCUGCCCCUUCCCCCCUGACCCACUAGAGGUAAGCUGCUUGCACUGGCUCCUACUCAGGUGGGGAGGGGUCCAUACUGGGGUCCGGGUGGCAGGUUGCCUGGCUCUGCCCACUGACAUGUGGUAUGUGAGAGCCAGGGUCAGGCUUUGUGAGGCUGUGCCCGAGCACAGGGACAUGGGGGUCCCUGGCUGAGUGUGCUGUGCACAAGCAUGGGGUUAGAGGGUCUCUGGCUGGAUGUGUGGGAGCCAGGGUUGGGGGGGUCUAUGGGUCUGUGCCUGAGCAUGUGGGGCUGUACCCAAGCACAAGGACAUGGGGUUUCCUGGCUGGCUAUGCAAGAGCCAGGCUUGCACUCCAUUAGGUUGUGCCCAAGCACAGGGAUUCUCCUGGGCUCAGUGUCAGGUGUGUAUGUACAGCACAGGUACUUAAUUACAAGUUCAGGAGCACAGCCUGGGGACUAGGGAUCCAGGUCCCAGGGUUUGUGCAGGAGACACAGAUGCCUCCCUCCCUCCCCCCAUCACUGCCUGCCUGUAGCUGACAGGUGGCUGGAGGCAGGAGGUGGGACUGAGGAAGGUGCCUGUUCUGACUCAGCUCUGGGAAAGCUCAUGGCCCACUAGGCACUCAGCCAUAGCAGCUGAGUGCAGGCCAAAUGCUAGCAUGCCUCCCUGAGAAGGAGUAGCAGUAGGUGCCACAAAAAUGGUUGGGAUGGUUGGGGACAGCAAUCUAACUUGGGAUCUAGUACAAAAGUUCAAUUCACCAGUAUAACCUAAACCAAUUACAUUUGAAUUCUAUCUUGAACCUGGUCUAUUUUAGACCAAGUUCUGCAUUUUUGGACUGGUCUAUGUGCACCACACUUUCGCAGGAUUAUGGGUUUAGAAUGAUCUCCCAUCACUUAGAUUAAUUUAUGUGUAAUGUCUAUACUUGGCCCAAGUCUCUAAUUGCUGGGAUAAUGACUUAAUUAACUUGUUUCUCUUUCCAAAGAGUUAUGCCAAGUAAGAAAUGUGUACGUACUAAAAGAACAGGCCUAUAAACAGAGUAUUAUUCGUAUGUUAUGGGCUAAAAUUAUAGCUGUUGGGUGGGUCAGGUAGGGAAGUAAAAGUAUAUCUCCUUUGCAUGGAGAUAACAGGGUAGGAUCCUUUUAUAGCAGAGGCAGGCAAAAUACGGCCCAUGGGCCUCAUCUGGCCCACCAGGCCAUUCAAUCCAGCCCACAGAGCCCCUAAAAAAAUUUAGUAAAUUAAUAUUUAUUUGCCGCAGUUCUCUUUCAAAGCUGGCUGGAGUCAGGGGCAGUAGGACCCAGAGGGAGCCCUCAGCAGGCUUGCAGGCUUGAGCAGCCCAGCCCUGCCCACCCCCAGCUGGUUCCCUGCUUUCCUGCCCCUGCCCUGCUCCAGCACCACGUGGCUGUGGCUCCUGGCUGCAUCCCCAGACCUUGCUGGUAGGGGUGUGUAUGUGUGUGCGUGCAUGUCUUGGCAGGCACCAGGGCAGAGUAUGUAUCUGCAGGCACAGGGGCAGUGUGUGUGUGUGUGUGUGUGUGUGUGUGUGUGUGUGUGUGUUCAUAGGGUGAGUCCCACAUGCACACCCCUCCAUAUGCCUCCCCUAGCACUGCCAUACACAAACCCCAGCCACCCUCCCUCCAUUGCCCCCCCACAUACCCAUACACCCACAGCUCCCACAAACCUAUACCCACCCCCCACAAUAUACAAGAGUAAGACUUCAUUUUAAGCUAUUAUGCAGUCACUUCUGCGUACACUACACAAACACAUGUAAAUCAGGACAAAAAUAUUUUUUGAAAACAAAUUCAUUAAUGUUGUAGAUGAUCACUUUUUAGAAUAUAAUUUGGUAUUUUUCUGGUUCUGAGAUGGCAAAACCCCUUGCUGAAAGGAGUACUUCCAGGGGCAAGGGGAGGGACUCCUGGUGGCAAAGGUCAGGGGUUAGGGGGUGGAACUUCUGGUCACAAGAUGGCGACCAGGGGGCAGGGCACCUGUCAAGGGGCAGGGCUACCCAGGCAGCCCUUGACAACUUGCCAAAACUUAGUAAGUGGCCCUCUGCCCGAAAUAGUUGCCCGCCCCUGUUUUAUAGCAUUCAAGGCAGUGCAGUGAUAAACACUGAAUCUAUCUAGUUUAUGCUUCACGAUGGCCCUUAAACAAGUCUUGUACAUUUUGUACCUUAUCUGGCUGGCACCCAUUAGCUCAUGAGCUGCUAAUAGUUAGGAACAAGAAACUCUUUGCAAUAGGUACAGGCACUGUGGAAGAGAAGCAGGAAGUUUACAGACAUAAUCCUGCUCUGCAGCUGUUCUUUCUUACUUGGAUUUACUGCCACUAUUUCUUCCCUGCCUUUGACCCUUUGCUAUUUAUUUAUUUUGAGGCUUAUGACAUUUACUGUUUCCUUUAAAGUUUUCCCACUCUUAAAAUUAUGCUGUUGUUUGAAAAACUCAGCUCUCAGUUAAAAAAACAACAAACCCCGCAUAAAUUUUUGACCUGGUGGUUGAAAAUGUGAUCCCUAAAAGCUCAAAAUCCAGAAGCCACAUAUACAGCCUCAGGAUUUUUAAGCCAACAUCAUGAUUAUUGCUGCUAACUCAUGUUUUGAAUGCCCAGGGAUGGCACUUCAAUUGUCUUCAUUUCUCUCCUAAUUAGACUGAGAUGGAGGAUGAGUAAAACUCUCCCUAUAUUCAGCCUACAGCCUCCUCCUAUAGUCAGUCUCACUUGUCUCUAUCUUUCACAUAGGGCUAUGGAAUAGAAGAUCUCUUGCAUUUUGAUUUCCCACCUGUGUGAGGAGGAUGUGAAGAUCCUACCUUUCUCUCCACUGGAAAGAGGAAGGAGAGAAAAGAGUCCAGCACUCAGAAAUCCAGCACCAUCCUGCCAAUAGAUAUAUGUCCUACUUUAAAACUUUAACGGGAAUCACCAUGGGUAGAGAGAAAGAAGAAUAAGCUAGACAAGGGGCAGCGAAACCCUAUCCCAUGGGCCAGAUCUGUCCCAUGGAGCCAUGGUAUCCAGUCCACAGGGUUCCCUACAGGUUUGAAAAUACAGCAGCAGAGGGGAGUGGUGGCACCAAUUGCCACUCCCCUGCUGCCAAAUUUGUGGCCGUGUGAGGAGCCCUCCGGUCAGGUUGGAUUGGUGCAUGGAGAUGGCUCAGGGCCAAAUCCAGGCACAUGGCUGACUAGAGGUAAUGCGGGCUCCAAUCCAGUGGCACAGACCCCAGGAAGCUGGUGCAGGGACUUGGUGCAGCAAAUUCUGAUUUGGUGAUUCUUCAAACUUGUCACAAGACAUCCUUUGAGGAGCAAUGCUGUCACAGCUAGCAAAAGUCUUUUGAAGAGGAUGGAGACAGCAACAUCUUCCUCCCCUGUGCUUUUCUGGACAGGAUUUUAUUCCUGUAAAUUAAUUAAAGAGCUCUCCAAACCAAAUCAGACCAAACUAUCCUCCCAGCUACAGAAAGCAUUUCAGUGUUCUGUGACCCUAAUUUCUUACUCUUCAGGAGCUGGCUGACUGACUUUAGUCUUUUGACCAAGAGAUAUAUGGUAUCGGUUAAAAGGCAACCUGCAAGCCAUUUGUCCUGUGCUGCUAGGCAUACAUGAUUAAACUCUGGAAAGGUUUUUUGAAUUACUGAACUCAACUGAAUUGGGACAUUACUUCCUUCAAGCACCAUGUGGCAAGAAGACUUGCAAAUGGUUGGCACCUGUCCUUUUUAAAUUGUAACAAGUCAGAUCAAUGAUGGAUGUGGCCUUCUGAGGAUUUACAUUUGAGGAUUAUUUAUGUUUGAUUCUUUCAUGGCCACUAUUUUGUUACACAGUCCCUGGUCAUUAAAUUUCAUAAUAUAGCUGAAGCCACUGUACCUAAAAUAAAUAAAAGUAAGUCAGUGCUGUGCCAAGCAAAUACAGGUGUUCAUUCACUGUAAAAGGAGUUCAUGAUUAAAAGUGCCAAUCAAACUAGUGAUACUAAAAGUGAAAUAAACCCUUGCUGUUCAAUACACAUGGAGCCACAUAACCUGGAACAAAGAAGCCAGCUAGAAAUUAUAAGCUGCUGAUGAGAUACUUCUGGGGUUGAACAGUAGCCACGGCCUUUAAUGACCAUGCAUCAAAAAGUGAAAAAGAAGACAGGAUAAGAUGGCAACUUCUCAUAGCACAGAUCACAUUUUCAGAACUGAUAAUACCACAAUCAGCUUCAAAUGUGAUAGGAGUAGAUGACAGGAAAAAGAAAGAAUUCUAGGGCUGGCAAAGAGGGAAUCUGUAAUACUCAAUUAAUUAUUCUGGUUCCAAUUUUAAUAUGAUUUCAUGAAAUAAAAAUACCUUAACAAAGCUGCUAGAUAUGUGUGCCCUCCAUGGGACCAGAACUGAUCAACAGUUCUGCGUCAAUACGAGACACUUUACUGUGAAGUAGCAUAGUUUCCUGCAUAGCAAGCAGGUGUGUCUACACAUGCACAUGGUUACAGUGCAGUAAACCUCGCUAAUCAUGAGUAGAUUUGCUACCUGCAAAUGCAAGUAGCAAAUUUAUUUGCAAUUAAUACCUGUGCAGUAGCGCUUGUGUAGAUGCCUGACAGGGAGCAAAUCUGCUGCCGGUCAUCUGGCCACCAGGGGCGGAAGAUUGCUCCCUGCCCCCAGGAGGUGCUUGCUGCUGGGCCAUGCUCUGCCACUGGAGGCUCGCCUCAGACUAUGUCCCCCUGACCCUACAGCAGGGAGCUCCAAGCCCCCUGCUCUGAGAUUUCAAUCAGGGAGAGGGGGCUGAGAGAUCAUUAUCUCCAAGCCCCUGCUCCGCUAUCUCAAUUGGAAAGCACGGUGCUGAAAUCCUUAUCUCUCAGUGCCAGCUCCAUGAAAGCAGGGACAGUAUUGAGAGAUCCUUAUCUUCCAGCCCAAGCUUCUGUCAUGGGGCUUAGUUUGGGAGAUAAGGAUCUCCCAGCCCAAGUCCCACAACUGCAGAGCUGGUGCUGGGAACUCCCUGGUGGCAGAGACUGGGGAGAUUGCUCUUUACUCAGCUCCAUGCUCAUGGGGCUGAGUGGGAAACAAGCUCCUCCGCCAGUUCCCCACCCAGCUCCGUGCUCAGCUGAGUGGGGAAUAAGCUCUCCAGCCUGUUCCCCAGCAGGGAAAGGCUCUGCAGCCUCAUGAUCAUGGAGUGGGGGCUGGGAAUUGUCCCAGUCAGGGGCGGGUCCCAGCCCUGUGCCCCAGUUGGGCAAUCGAGGUGCAGGGCUUUAAAAGAUC